rnacentral:rRNA from 1 species
GACGAACGCUGGCGGCGUGCUUAACACAUGCAAGUCGAACGGAAAGGCCCUGCUUUUGUGGGGUGCUCGAGUGGCGAACGGGUGAGUAACACGUGAGUAACCUGCCCUUGACUUUGGGAUAACUUCAGGAAACUGGGGCUAAUACCGGAUAGGAGCUCCUGCUGCAUGGUGGGGGUUGGAAAGUUUCGGCGGUUGGGGAUGGACUCGCGGCUUAUCAGCUUGUUGGUGGGGUAGUGGCCUACCAAGGCUUUGACGGGUAGCCGGCCUGAGAGGGUGACCGGCCACAUUGGGACUGAGAUACGGCCCAGACUCCUACGGGAGGCAGCAGUGGGGAAUAUUGCACAAGGGGCGGAAGCCUGAUGCAGCAACGCCGCGUGCGGGAGGACGGCCUUCGGGUUGUAACCGCUUUCGCCUGUGACGAAGCGUGAGUGACGGUAAUGGGUAAAGAAGCACCGGCUAACUACGUG